CGCGCUGCGGAUCGAACCCAGAGGCUCGCAACCGCUCUUAACACAGAGCAACACCCCUAGCCCAGCCUUUUUUUGGAGUAAACAGACUUGCUUUCCUCUAAAGCUACCGCAGUGGGAUGCAUCUGAGUCUCCGUCCUCUCGGAGGAAGCACAGCGUAGGACAGAACAGAGCAGAGAGGACUUCCUGCGCCAAUCCCGCCAACCGCCCGCCAUCAGCAGUCGCAUUCACUCACGGUCAUUGGAGUCGUAGGAGAGAUACUCAGCCAGGAACCCGGUGUCCGUGUACGAGUGAUCAGAAUGGAAGUGGACCGUAAUCUUGCUGCUGUUGCUGCUCACCACAAACUGGGACCUCUCACCGCAGAACCUAGAGGGCAAGAGUGAGGCUGAGGGAGGUUCAGUUGGCAACCAGACAACUGGGGGUGCCUGGGACCAGCCCUCCCAACAUCCAGGAUGGUGGUUGCACCCCUAGGGGCUCACUUCUCCCCGUUGAUCUCCACAUAGUCCUUGGUGCAGCUUCCCACUGGUAUGUUGGGGUCCACCAGAUAGAAGAGUUUGAAGCGUACUUUCACGUUCCGGUUGUUGGGCACCUGCACAGAGAGAUGCUAUGGGGACCCUGGCCUCUUUGGUACUUCUUAACACAAGGGAUAGUCACGGGAGGGGAAUGGGGUCCUGAACGAACCCCAUGCACACCAAGACUUCUCUUACAUAUAUACAUACAUAGAUAUGAUAAACAGCUC
rnacentral:lncRNA from 1 species